AAUUCUUUAGAGAGAUACAUUAUGCUUCCUAAUGGGUUUGGUUUACUAUUUUGAUUGGACCUAUACUUUUUCAAAUCAAUCAACAGCAACCGGCCAAUAUAAACAUAUUAAUCAUGCCCAUGCAACCGUUGACGUAGAAAUUUUCCCACAUAUAUAAGGAUUGUUAGCAUAUAAUAUAGAAUCACACCAUGAAAUGUCCAUCAAAUUACAAAUUUAAAAAAAA
rnacentral:lncRNA from 1 species